rnacentral:rRNA from 1 species
CCUACGGGUGGCUGCAGUGGGGAAUAUUGCACAAUGGGGGAAACCCUGAUGCAGCAACGCCGCGUGAAGGAAGACGGUUUUCGGAUUGUACCCUUCUAUCAAUAGGGAAGAAAGAAAUGACGGUACCUAAAUAAGAAGCCCCGGCUAACUACGUGCCAGCAGCCGCGGUAAGACGUAGGGGGCAAGCGUUAUCCGGAAUUACUGGGUGUAAGGGGAGAGUAGGCGGCAAGGUAAGCGAUAUGUGAAAGCCUUAAGCUUAACUUAAGGAUGGCAUAACGAACUAUCUAGCGAGAGUACAGGAGAGGAAAGCGGAAUUCCUAGUGUAGCGGUGAAAUGCGUAGAUAGUAGGAAGAACACCAGUGGCGAAGGCGGCUUUCUGGACUGAAACUGACGCUGAGGCUCGAAAGCGUGGGGAGCGAACAGGAUUAGAUACCCCAGUAGUC